rnacentral:rRNA from 1 species
UACGUAGGGCGCAAGCGUUGUCCGGAAUUAUUGGGCGUAAAGAGCUCGUAGGUGGCUUGUCGCGUCUGCCGUGAAAGCCCAUGGCUUAACUAUGGGGUCUGCGGUGGAUACGGGGCAGGCUAGAGGCUGGUAGGGGCAAGCGGAAUUCCUGGUGUAGCGGUGAAAUGCGCAGAUAUCAGGAGGAACACCGGUGGCGAAGGCGGCUUGCUGGGCCAGUUCUGACGCUGAGGAGCGAAAGCGUGGGGAGCGAACAGG